rnacentral:lncRNA from 1 species
AUUAUCUUAUCUCAUUCUUUUCUAAGUUACCCAAUUUAACUGCCUUAUCCUUUUAUCACAACUCCCCUCAUUGAACACUUACCAGAUCCUUUUCUGAUGCUAUGUAGGCAGUAUAACAGCUUUCGCAGCUGCUUGCUGAAUGAAAUGGGAAAAUGCACACACACUCACACGCACACACACAACCCUCUGGGAGUAUGUGUAAGGAGAGGAAUUUCAGCAGUAUUUCAGGAUCAAGGGAUGCAAGUGGCAGGACAAUAUUUGAGAAAAAGAAAGAAAGAGAAGAGGAUGGACUUUUUAGACUCAGUUCUACUGCUGAGUUCAAAUGUCUUGAACUUAAUAGCUGUGAAUGACCUGGCACAAGUUAUACACCUCAUUAAAAUUCAAUUUUUC